UUGAACGCGGCGGCAGGCCUAACACCAUGCAAGUCGAGCGGAAACGACACUAACAAUCCUUCGGGUGCGUUAAUGGGCGUCGAGCCAUGCAAGUCGAGCGGAAAGGUGAGUAAUGCCUAGGAAAUUGCCUUGAUGUGGGGGAUAACCAUUGGAAACGAUGGCUAAUACCGCAUAAUGCCUACGGGCCAAAGAGGGGGACCUUCGGGCCUCUCGCGUCAAGAUAUGCCUAGGUGGGAUUAGCUAGUUGGUGAGGUAAUGGCUCACCAAGGCGACGAUCCCUAGCUGGUCUGAGAGGAUGAUCAGCCACACUGGAACUGAGACACGGUCCAGACUCCUACGGGAGGCAGCAGUGGGGAAUAUUGCACAAUGGGCGCAAGCCUGAUGCAGCCAUGCCGCGUGUAUGAAGAAGGCCUUCGGGUUGUAAAGUACUUUCAGUCGUGAGGAAGGCAUUAGCGUUAAUAGCGUUGGUGUUUGACGUUAGCGACAGAAGAAGCACCGGCUAACUCCGUGCCAGCAGCCGC
rnacentral:rRNA from 1 species